CACGUAGGGCGCAAGCGUUGUCCGGAAUUACUGGGUGUAAAGGGUUCGUAGGCGGUGCGGCAAGUUGGGAGUGAAAUCUCUGGGCUUAACCCAGAGGCUGCUUCCAAAACUGCUGUGCUUGAGUGUGGGAGAGGCGCGUGGAAUUGCAGGUGUAGCGGUGAAAUGCGUAGAUAUCUGCAGGAACACCCGUGGCGAAAGCGGCGCGCUGGACCACUACUGACGCUGAGGAACGAAAGCUAGGGGAGCAAACAGG
rnacentral:rRNA from 1 species